GAUUAAAUGGCUGAAGUUUAGGCGAUAGACUG
rnacentral:tRNA from 1 species